rnacentral:rRNA from 1 species
UACGUAGGGCGCGAGCGUUGUCCGGAAUUAUUGGGCGUAAAGAGCUCGUAGGCGGCCUGUCGCGUCCGCUGUGAAAACCCGGGGCUCAACCCCGGGCUUGCAGUGGAUACGGGCAGGCUAGAGGCAGGCAGGGGAGAACGGAAUUCCCGGUGUAGCGGUGAAAUGCGCAGAGAUCGGGAGGAACACCAGUGGCGAAGGCGGCCUUCUGGACCAGCACUGACACUCAAGCACGAAAGCGUGGGGAGCAAACAGG